CCUACGGGCGGCAGCAGUGGGGAAUAUUGCACAAUGGGGGAAACCCUGAUGCAGCGACGCCGCGUGAGUGAAGAAGUAUUUCGGUAUGUAAAGCUCUAUCAGCAGGGAAGAAAAUGACGGUACCUGAUUAAGAAGCCCCGGCUAACUACGUGCCAGCAGCCGCGGGAAUACGUAGGGGGAAAGCGUUAUCCGGAUUUACUGGGUGUAAAGGGAGCGUAAACGGCAGCACAAGUCUGGAGUGAAAUGCCGGGGCUUAACCCCGGAACUGCUUUGGAAACUGUGCAGCUAGAGUGCAGGAGAGGUAAGUGGAAUUCCUAGUGUAGCGGUGAAAUGCGUAGAUAUUAGGAGGAACACCAGUGGCGAAGGCGGCUUACUGGACUGUAACUGACGUUGAGGCUCGAAAGCGUGGGGAGCAAACAGGAUUAGAUACCCUAGUAGUC
rnacentral:rRNA from 1 species